rnacentral:rRNA from 1 species
CGGAUUGGAGUCUGNAACCCGACUCCAUGAAGCUGGAUUCGCUAGUAAUCGCGCAUCAGCCACGGCGCGGUGAAUACGUUCCCGGGCCUUGUACACACCGCCCGUCAAGCCAUGGAAGCCGGGAGUGCCUGAAGUGCGUGAGCGCAAGCAGCGCCCUAAGGUAAAACCGGUGACUGGGGCUAAGUCGUAACAAGGUAUC